rnacentral:rRNA from 1 species
UACGUAGGUGGCAAGCGUUGUCCGGAAUUAUUGGGCGUAAAGGGCUCGCAGGCGGUUUCUUAAGUCUGAUGUGAAAGCCCCCGGCUCAACCGGGGAGGGUCAUUGGAAACUGGGGAACUUGAGUGCAGAAGAGGAGAGUGGAAUUCCACGUGUAGCGGUGAAAUGCGUAGAGAUGUGGAGGAACACCAGUGGCGAAGGCGACUCUCUGGUCUGUAACUGACGCUGAGGAGCGAAAGCGUGGGGAGCGAACAGGAUUAGAUACCCGUGUAGU